rnacentral:lncRNA from 1 species
CUUGGAGAUUAUUCAUUGUAUAGACCAUUGGUAAGUAUUCUUCCUUCCCUGCUUUGUCAUUGGUAUUUCAUCGGUUGAGGAUUCCUCUGCUUUAUGGUAAAUGGCUGAUAGGAAAUGUCUGUUAUAUCCAUGCUGAUAUCCAACUUGAUAGAUGCAAUCUAGCUUUUUUUUUUCUUUCAAUUCUUGGUUGUCUGUAAUGUAGAGAUUCGUUCUCCUGAAAUAAAAAUUGAAGGCUGAUACUUUGUAUGCAGUUGGGUCCAAGGACCAUUUUGUAUGAUGACUUGCUCAUAUGUAGAUUUUCUAUAAAUCAACAUCAGUUCAGUAUUUUAGUUCUAAUUUUAUGUCUAAAAAAAUGCAUAGUUGAAUUUACUGAUUUGCUGCCUUUUUAGUGUACCGUUACCGCUUCAGCAUUAAUUCAUCAGCCAAUUCGUCCACCUUCGUUCCAUUGCUUCGUACUGUGAUGAUAUUGUUUACGAACCUUAUAUGUAAUCUCAUGUCUUACUGGAAUCUACUUAAUACUUUACUUUUGGCUUCUCUAAGUAAAAUUUCAGCUAAGGAAGCUACCAUGGGACUUCGUAUUGGGAUACCUUUUGUGUGGUGGUAAUAUUUACUCUUAAAUUUGAAGGAUUUAUGACAUAUGAUGUAAGACAAUUUCCUUAGAAAUGGUGCUUUUUCUUACAUAUUAGGUGCAUUCAUAAGCAAAAAUCUAUAAAAAUGCAUGACACGUUGGUUCUAUUUCUAAUGAAGGGUAGAGGCUCUCAAAAUUAAAGAUUGCUAUUACAUCCCAUUUGUGCUAUUUGAAUUCUUUUGGCCUUGAUAGGGCUUGCAUUGUAAUCGUGGCAAAAUUAUCAGUUUGGUCUAGUAUAUUCACGACCCAAUUAGUCAAUUUCUGUUUCAAGUUAUAUGUAGGGACGACACCUCUUUCUACGAUUGGCCUUGGUGCUAUUGGAUCUUUGUGUGUUUUGAUAUACACAAUCAAUCUGGGACAGGCUGGGGUUUCUACUGCCAUGUGCCUCCAAACCUCUGGGAAGUGCUUGCUUUUUGUGAUUUUAUCUAUUGCUGCUUUUAGCUCCGUAGUCAGAUCUUUUUGGACUGUUUCAGGUUGUAUGGCUUGUAUGUAUUCAUGUAAGAAGGCAUCAUAUCUUUAUCUUUACAGCAACACCAUUUUUCUUGAUUUGUCUGUUCUGGUGAUGAUGUGUCAUUUUCUUUGAUCCAUCAGAAUGUCUUCUUGAGGUGUGCCUCAUAAUUAUGCUUUGCUGCUUUCAUUUCUUGGUUUUUUUUUCCCUCUCCUCUCUCAUACACAUUUGCAUCUUAAUUUCUGCCUUUCUAGUUCGUGGUCUCCUAAGGUAGCUAGAAUGUCUUCUAGGAUUGGAAUUUCAUUCAUUGAGGUCAUUUCUUUAGAUAUGGUACAGACUGAUUCUUUUCUGAAUAGCUCUUCUGCAAAGUGUGAUAGAAAAAUUGAUGAUAAUAUUAAGAUAGAUAAAACUAAGUCCAGUUGUGUUCUUGCCAUGGACAUGUUGCCAUUUAAAAAUUCAUUUUGAUCUUUAUAUAUUUCUAAGAUUUCUUUUUAGCUUCUCAUUUCAUUCAAUACCAUUUAUAAAGGUUACUGUUUCCCCUGUUUGUUGCAACUGAUUUUUGUAUUCUGUUUCAAUCUUGAACUUUAAAAUACUUCUUCUUUGUGUCCGUUAUGGCUACCCUUAGGCAGCUUAUCUUUGUGUUGUUCAAGACACUUUUGAGUUGACCAAUAAGUUAUUAUUAUAAUUGCAGGGUAUACUUGGUUGAUCUUACAUAAUAAGACCC